rnacentral:rRNA from 1 species
GAAGUGUGGACGCCAGUCUGCAUGGAGCCGACCUUGAAAUACCACCCUUUAAUGUUUGAUGUUCUAACGUGGACCCGUGAUCCGGGUUGCGGACAGUGUCUGGUGGGUAGUUUGACUGGGGCGGUCUCCUCCUAAAGAGUAACGGAGGAGCACGAAGGUUGGCUAAUCCUGGUCGGACAUCAGGAGGUUAGUGCAAUGGCAUAAGC